CUACGGGCGGCACCAGUGGGGAAUAUUGGACAAUGGGGGAAAUUUUGAUUCAGCAAUGCUGCGUGUGUGAAGAAGGCCUGCGGGUUGUAAAGCACUUUCGGUUGGGAGGACUGCUUCUAGCACUAAUAUUGUUGGAAGUUGACGUUACCUUCAGAAGAAGCACCGGCUACCUCCGUGCCAGCAGCCGCGAGUAAUACGGGGGUGCAAGCGUUAAGCGGAAUUACUGGGAGUAAAGCGCGCGUAGGCGGCUAGAUCAGUCGGGUGUGAAAGCCCCGGGCUUAACCUGGGAACUGCAUCCGAUACUGGCUAGCUUGAGUACAGGAGAGGAGAGGGGAAUUCCACAUGUAGCGGUGAAAUGCGUAGAUAUGUGGAGGAACACCAAUGGCGAAGGCAGCUCUCUGGCCUGAUACUGACGCUGAGGUGCGAAAGCGUGGGGAGCAAACAGGAUUAGAUACCCCGGUAGUC
rnacentral:rRNA from 1 species